UCGAGAAUCUUCCGCAAUGGACGAAAGUCUGACGGAGCGACGCCGCGUGCGGGAUGAAGGCCUUCGGGUUGUAAACCGCUGUCAUAGGGGAGGAAAUUUUGACCGAUCCUAAGAGGAAGCACAGGCUAAGUUCGUGCCAGCAGCCGCGGUAAUACGAACUGUGCGAACGUUAUUCGGAAUCACUGGGCUUAAAGGGUGCGUAGGCGGCUACAAAGGUCAGAUGUGAAAUCCCACGGCUCAACCGUGGAACUGCGUUUGAAACCGUGUAGCUUGAGGGAGUCAGAGGUAAGCGGAACUGAUGGUGGAGCGGUGAAAUGCGUUGAUAUCAUCAGGAACACCGGUGGCGAAAGCGGCUUACUGGGACUUUUCUGACGCUGAGGCACGAAAGCUAGGGGAGCGAACGGG
rnacentral:rRNA from 1 species